GCCAAAUGACAUAGGAUGAAGGCUGUUCGUAAUUUGCUGAUUUAUAUAUUUUCCACCUAUCUACUGGUUAUGUUUGGAUUUAAUGCUGCCCAAGACUUCUGGUGCUCAACGCUGGUGAAGGGGGUCAUUUAUGGAUCAUAUUCUGUAAGCGAAAUGUUUCCCAAAAACUUUACAAACUGCACUUGGACGCUGGAAAAUCCAGAUCCAACCAAAUAUAGCAUUUACCUGAAAUUUUCCAAAAAGGACUUCAGCUGCUCUAACUUUUCCCUGCUGGCUUAUCAGUUUGAUCAUUUUUCCCAUGAAAAAAUUAAGGAUCUCUUAAAGAAUAACCACUCUAUAAUGCAGCUGUGUGAUUCCAAGAAUGCUUUUGUAUUCCUGCAGUAUGAUAAGAAUUUCAUUCAGAUACGCCGAGUCUACCCCUUCGAUUUCAUAGGAUUAUACAAAAAGGAAGAUGAUCAGAAAUCUUUCUUUGAAUUUUUGGUGUUGAACAAGGUGAGCCCAAGCCAAUUUGGUUGCCAUGUAUUAUGCACUUGGCUGGAGAGCUGCUUGAAAUCUGAGAAUGGGAGAACGGAGUCCUGUGGGAUCAUGUAUACAAAAUGCACCUGCCCUCAACACUUGGGAGAAUGGGGGGGAGAUGACCAUUCCCUGGUGUUGCUCAAUAAUGUAGUGCUGCCGCUCAAUGAGCAGACGGAAGGCUGUCUCACCCAGGAGCUGCAAACCACCCAGGUCUGCAAUCUAACAAGGGAAGCCAAGCGGCCACCGAAAGAAGAUGGUCACAAAGCUCUCUGUCUGUGGGGAGGCAGAGCCAAGCUCCUGGUCUCUCAAAUAGAAGUUGCCUUUGUAAAGGAAUGCAAAAUUGACACGUUGUUCUGUGAGGAUUUUCUUUAA
rnacentral:lncRNA from 11 species